AGGCUGGCUUCAAAAUCCUUACUCAAACUGGGAGUUGCUGCAUAGAGGCUUUAUGUGCUCUCUCUUCUUUGCAAGUGCACAAGGAAGUAACUGAGAAACAAGACAGCAGCAACACUUUCUAAGUCUACCACUGUUAAUUCUAUUCAGUGAAACAGAUACUGAAUAUUAGUAUUUCUAACACAGGACUACUGAAUAACUGUACAUGGGGAGCAUUGAUAUUAAAGACAUACAUACAAUUCUCCAGUGAAUUGCUGAUGUAAUCCAGAUCAUCUCACAUAAUGCUUUUUGCAAUAUUCCACAAGCAAUAAUAGCCUGGAACUUUUUGAAAUAAAAAGCGAAUUACCCGGCAUAUAAGUUUGUCAAAUUUGUUGAAAAACUGUUUGCUGCACUUAUGAGAGACAUUGUCACAUCC